GAUGAAGAACGUAGCGAAAUGCGAUAAGUAAUGUGAAUUGCAGAAUUCAGUGAAUCAUCGAAUCUUUGAACGCACAUUGCGCCCGGCAGUACUCUGCCGGGCAUGCCUGUUCGAGCGUCAUUUCAACCCUCAAGCCCUGCUUGGUGUUGGGGCCCUACGGCUGCCGUAGGCCCCGAAAGGAAGUGGCGGGCUCGCUACAACUCCGAGCGUAGUAACUCAUUAUCUCGCUUAGGGCGUUGGGCGGCGCUCCAGCCGUUAAAGAACCAUCUUUAACUCAAGGUUGACCUCGGAUCAGGUAGGAAUACCCGCUGAACUUAAGCAUAUCAUAAGCGGAGGA
rnacentral:misc_RNA from 1 species